rnacentral:rRNA from 1 species
GACGUAGGGCGCGAGCGUUGUCCGGAUUUAUUGGGCGUAAAGAGCUCGUAGGCGGCUUGUUGCGUCGACCGUGAAAACCCGGGGCUCAACUUCGGGCUUGCGGUCGAUACGGGCGGGCUAGAGUUCGGUAGGGGAGAUUGGAAUUCCUGGUGUAGCGGUGGAAUGCGCAGAUAUCAGGAGGAACACCAAUGGCGAAGGCAGAUCUCUGGGCCGUAACUGACGCUGAGGAGCGAAAGCAUGGGGAGCGAACAGG